rnacentral:rRNA from 1 species
GUACCUAGUGUUCCUUGGGAGGAUAUAUCUAUGGACUUUGUUUUAGGUUUACCUCGAACAAAGAAGGGGAGGGAUAGCAUAUUUGUUGUCAUGGAUAGAUUCUCGAAAAUGGCACACUUUAUACCAUGUCAUAAAAGCGAUGAUGCUGUUAAUGUUGCUGAUUUGUUCUUUCGUGAAAUUAUUCGCUUGCAUGGUGUGCCAAAUACUAUUGUUUCAGAUCGUGAUACUAAAUUUCUUAGCCACUUUUGGAGAUGUUUAUGGGCUAAGUUGGGGACUAAACUGCUUUUUAGUACUACUUGUCACCCCCAAACUGAUAGACAAACUGAAGUAGUCAAUAGAACGUUGUCUACUAUGCUUAGGGCUGUUUUGAAGAAUAAUAAGAAAAUGUGGGAGGAAUGCUUGCCUCAUAUUAAAUUUGCUUAUAAUCGUUCAUUGCAUUCUACUACUAAGAUGUGCCCUUUUGAAGUUGUGUAUGGUUUCCUACCUCGUGCACCUAUUGAUUUGUUGCCUCUUCCAUCUUCGGAGAAGGUUAAUUUUGAUGCUAAACAACGUGCUGAAUUGAUUUUAAAAAUGCAUGAGUUAACUAAGGAAAACAUUGAGCGUAUGAAUGCUAAAUAUAAACUUGCUGGAGAUAAGGGUAGAAAACAUGUUGUGUUUGCACCUGGAGAUCUUGUUUGGUUACAUUUGCGUAAGGAUAGAUUUCCUGAUUUGCGCAAAUCAAAGUUAAUGCCACGUGCUGAUGGUCCCUUUAAGGUGUUAGAGAAAAUAAAUGAUAAUGCAUAUAAACUUGAGCUGCCUGCAGAUUUUGGGGUUAGUCCCACUUUUAACAUUGCAGAUUUGAAGCCUUAUUUGGGUGAGGAAGAUGAACUUCCGUCGAGGAUGACUUCAUUUCAAGAAGGGGAGGAUGAUGAGGACAUCAAU